UUAGUGUGGCCUCCCCAACUUCCUUAAGCCUGAAACCCUGUGCCAGAGAAAAGUCACGAAACUGUGGUCUAAAGGAUUCUGGAAAACAUGGCAGGACCUGAAAGCAGUCUGGGAAGCCCUGAUUCUUACUCCCUCAGGCAAGGAGAGAGAAACAAGGAUGGCUUGAUGUCUCAAAGGUGCAGAGGGGGCUGCAACAGCCAACGCAGGUUAUAGAACUCCUGAGAGUUGGAGGUGGUGUCGGGCGCUAAGCCCUCUACAAGCAAAAGAGGGAAGUUAACUCGAGCUGAGACCUCAACAAAUCAGGUCGUGAAGUUUAAGCACUGAAUCUAGGAGAAUUCAGAAGAGGAAAUUCAUUUUUUUCUUCUGUCCGCUGGGACUCUGUGAGACUGGGAACUCAUAGGCAACGUUUCUAAAGGACAAUAAGCAUGAUAAUGAGAAGUUGAAAAGAGGUGCCUUUGGUAAGGACAUAGGAUUUUCAAAACUGGCCUGUAAGGCUGGCUUAAAUCUUGUGUUUUUAAAAAGAGGAAUUUCUCCUCUUCAUUCAGAUGAUGGAGCCUUCAUAAUUUUUCUUCUGUUAUUUCCUCUGCCUGGAAAUUUUUGCCCAUGUCUUCACAUGCUAACACUAUUCUCUGUCCUUUAAGUAUUGGCCAUGUUUGUAGAUAGAACGUCUUAUUUCUUCUCUCUCCAAAUGAUCCUUUCUUUUUCUUAACCUCCUAUUGUAUUUCUAGCCUUUAAUUUUUAAUGGGAUUGGUC
rnacentral:lncRNA from 1 species